rnacentral:rRNA from 1 species
UACAGAGGGUGCGAGCGUUGUCCGGAAUCACUGGGCGUAAAGGGCGCGUAGGUGGCUCGUUAAGUGUGUGGUGAAAGCCUGGGGCUCAACCCCAGGUCUGCCGUGCGAACUGGCGAGCUUGAGCAGAGUAGAGGCGGGUGGAAUUUCGGGUGUAGCGGUGGAAUGCGUAGAUAUCCGAAAGAACACCGGUGGCGAAGGCGGCCCGCUGGGCUCUUGCUGACACUGAUGCGCGACAGCGUGGGGAGCAAACAGG